rnacentral:misc_RNA from 1 species
GAUGAAGAACGUAGCGAAAUGCGAUACUUGGUGUGAAUUGCAGAAUCCCGUGAACCAUCGAGUCUUUGAACGCAAGUUGCGCCUCAAGCCAUUAGGUUGAGGGCACGUCUGCCUGGGCGUCACAUAUCGUUGCCUGAUGCCAGUUUCCUCGUGAUGGGUGACUGUGCAGGGCGAAUGAUGGCUUUCCCUGAGCAUUGUUGCCUCAUGGUUGGUUGAAAAUUGAGUCCUUGGUAGGGAGCGCCGUGAUAGAUGGUGGUUGAGUGACGAACGAGACCCAAUCAUGUGAGACCCCUACCGAAUUUGGCCUUCAUGACCCACAUGCGUCUUUGGAACGCUCAUGACGAGACCUCAGGUCAGGCGGGGCUACCCGCUGAGUUUAAGCAUAUCAAUAAGCGGAGGA